CUCAUCUGGACUCACUGGGAGAAGUGAUUCACUAGAAUUCUCAUUGGAAGAAAUGACAGGAAAGCUCCCUCCAAUAUCUCAAUUUCCACCCCACUCAGUACCUGGUUUUAUGAUUCCACACCCUCCUAAUCCAUCCUGCCCUCCUAACACAUCCCACUCUCGUAAGCCAUCCCACUCUCGUGCCCGCGAAUCCCUCCCUCUUCUUCCAUCUGCCAAGCCCCUUCCUCCUCUCCAGAAGUACGUGGAUUUUUCAGUUUUCUGCCCUAACUGUUAUCCCACUGUGGCUCAUACCUGCCCUCCCCACUACCCUACCCUAAUACUCUACCUGCACUGCUCUUCUGCUAUUCAUUACAAACCAUCCAUUUGUCAAUGCUCUAGUCCCAGAACUCUUUCUGGUAACUCCCUUAUCGAUCACCCUAGCCCUCCUUCUAGCCCUACUGGUCAACGCUUGGGUCCCAGAACUCUUCCCUGUGAUUCCCUUAUCCGUUCUCCUGUUCCUCCUCCUAGCCCUCCUUGCCAACGCUCUGGUCCCAGAACUCUUUUCUGUGACUACCCUGUCUGUCCCCCUACUCCUCCUCCCAGCCCUACUUGCAAAUGCUGUCGUCCCAGAGCUGUUUCCUGGGACUCCUCUACCUAUGCCUCUACCCCUCCUCCUUAGCCCUACUUCUUUCUAGUACCCUGUACUCUAGUCCCCAGCCCCCAGCCCUGCCAUCCCCAACCAGACCUUAUGGUUCACAAGUCUCAUCUUGGAGAUGGUUUCCCUGCUCCCGGGGCAGUUCUGGAACAGUUCAGGAUGGCCAGGACUGUGGAUUCCCAGCAGUCUGACCUCGUGGACAAAGGAAAUGCAAGACGAUGGCAAACCAGCAUUCAGCCUCACCAGCCUGCAUGAGCCUCUACAUUUGUUCCUGGCUUCUCCAUGGAACUCGGUCUACAGCCACAAAGCAAACCACAGGGCCAGUGACAGAGAAGGCAGAGGGGAGUGUGGAGUGGGAAGCACCUAACCUGUUCUCAAGGAGGGGAAUGAUUGGCCAAGAUGAGUUUCAAUCGUAUGUCCACUACCUCCUGGCCUGCCACUUGGCUGUGAGUCCUUUCUGGGCGGUGUCCAGGGGCGGUUCCAGUGAUCAGGCAGGUGCUGAGAAGCACAGGCAGGUGAGUUAAGCACUGGAAGAAGGUGGGUGUGAAAUAAGAUCCUGAGAGGUGGGAGGGGACUGGGCAGGGUGGGUGACAGUAGGGGAAUGGGUGACAACACCAAAAUCUACUCCAGCAGGAUGAGGGGAUACUUGCCAGGAGACAGCAUGGGAUGCCAUUGCCUAGAGUUGGCAGAAGGACCAGGAGCAGGCAGGCAGCGAGAGAACACCCAGAGUGCUCCUGAUCGGACCAAGCUGCAUGGAGGCCACAAUGGGACACCUGAGGGAAAAGGUGACCCCAGAUGAGGUCCAUCGGAACCAGAUAUUGUGGGAACUGUCAAACCAGACCAAGAAGUAUGGAGGCCACAGAGGGACACCCCAGGGAGGUGACCCUGGAUGAGGUUCAUCAGAACUAGAUCUUGUGAGAACUACCUGACCAGACCAAGCAGCACAGAGGCCACGGUGAGACACCUGAGGGAGAAGGCGAACCCAGAUAAGGCUCAUCGGGUUCCGAUCUUGUGAGAACUGCAGAAGGCGACCACAGAUGAGGCUCAUCAGAACUAGAUCUUGUGAGAACUGCCUGAGCAGACCAAGCAGCACAGAGGCCACAGUGAGACACAUGAGGGAGAAGGUGAACCCAGAUGAGGCUCAUCAGGAACAGAUCUUGUGGGAACCAGAGAGGACAACCCCGGAUGAGGUCCAUCAGAACCAGAUCUUGUGGGAACUGCACUUCAAAGUGCUACAGACCCACAAACACUACAUGCAGCAUCACAUGAAUGCCCUCUGCAAGGGUGAGGGGCCUGGCAGGAUGGAGGAAAUACCAGAGAGGGGGGAUGCGCCCUGAAAAAAAGGAGAGCCCUGGGGACUGCGGAAGGUGGAGUGUGCGUCUCAUUAAAGGAGAAGAUACCUUCUCACACCCUACCUCCUUUUAUAGACUUUAGGAGCAAUGUCUUUGGAGGGGGCCUCACCUACAUCACAUCAGAUGCAUUAAAUAUAUUAAAAAGCAUUCACAUCUCAUGAAACAUUUUCACUGUAGAAAUGAGAGUUUUUCCAUCUGAAAAAUGGAAAUAACAACCCACCACUCCGUGAGUCUUUUAAGAAUUGAAGAUUUGCUUAAAGCAUGUAGCUCAGAGGAGGUAUACAAUAAGUAAUGUCUAUCAUC
rnacentral:lncRNA from 1 species